rnacentral:rRNA from 1 species
GAUGAACGCUGGCGGCGUGCCUAAUACAUGCAAGUCGAGCGAACGGACGAGAAGCUUGCUUCUCUGAUGUUAGCGGCGGACGGGUGAGUAACACGUGGAUAACCUACCUAUAAGACUGGGAUAACUUCGGGAAACCGGAGCUAAUACCGGAUAAUAUUUUGAACCGCAUGGUUCAAAAGUGAAAGACGGUCUUGCUGUCACUUAUAGAUGGAUCCGCGCUGCAUUAGCUAGUUGGUAAGGUAACGGCUUACCAAGGCAACGAUGCAUAGCCGACCUGAGAGGGUGAUCGGCGACACUGGAACUGAGACACGGUCCAGACUCCUACGGGAGGCAGCAGUAGGGAAUCUUCCGCAAUGGGCGAAAGCCUGACGGAACAACGCCGCGUGAGUGAUGAAGGUCUUCGGAUCGGAAAACUCUGUUAUUAGGGAAGAACAUAUGUGUAAGUAACUGUGCACAUCUUGACGGUACCUAAUCAGAAAGCCACGGCUAACUACGUG